rnacentral:tRNA from 1 species
AAGGGAGACCUAAUUCAGGUAUGGGACGAAAAAAAAGUAGUCGCUACCAAGAAUCAAUCCCAAAAGGUCGGAGCGAGGCGAAAUUGGCUUUCAAACUAGGUUCUGGGUUCACACAAGACCUGAAUCAGGAACAAGGGCUAUUAGCUCAGGUGGUUAGAGCGCACCCCUGAUAAGGGUGAGGUCCCUGGUUCGAGUCCAGGAUGGCCCACCUGUACAGGUGGCCAAAACCAAGAAAAGAAGCGAGGAAUCAGCACCUGCUCUUACCUACAUAGUAAGAGAGAAUGCUGGCUCUGAGUACAGAGUCCAGAGGAACCUUGAAAACUGCAUAGAGCUAGGUGAAAAAGCCAAAAAAGAAGACCGCAA